GUCUAUGGCCAUGCCACCCUGAACAAGCCUGAGCAUUUAUUUAUAAAUCUUCACAGGAUUAAAAAUGCUUACCCUGAACAAGCCUGAUCCAGUCUGAUCUCGGAAGCUAAGCAGAGUCAGGCCUGGUUAGUACUUGGAUGGGAGACCACCUAGGAAGACCAGGGGCUGUAGGCG
rnacentral:rRNA from 1 species